GAGAAACAUGCAGUCAAGUAGUUUGUUUGUCGUCCACUUUCGGAACCGACACAUAUUGACGCUCAGAAAUGUUCUGUAGCGAGCAUCAACAGCAGCUGCUCCGGUCCCUCGAUGAAACAAUUGUGCCUGAUUCUGAUCCAAGCUGUUCGUCUACAGAGACUUGGGAAGAUUCUGGUGCUGGAGGAGGUGGUAGCGAAACUGGGGGGAAUUCGGCUGGUAGCCACCCUAAGGUGCCCAAGAAUACUACGCGCAAGCGUAAAGCAUCUUCAUCUGGAGACGCCAGUGUACCCUUCGAAAGAUACAGGAAUCACUUUGCCGGAGCCACAGAUUCCGACGAGUGGUGGCAACAACACCCCAGCAGAGCAGCCGAUCCCUGCGAGUACUAUUGAGAGUACUCUAGGAAUUCAGACUAUUCCUACUGGGGGAGAGGAUCAAUCGGGCCCUGCACAAGGAUCCCUGGCUGCGGCUCCUGAAGUUCCGGCUGAAUCGAGAGCUUUGGUGACGUUUUCUGUCACAAAGUUACUCAAGGCGAGAAAGUUGCCUAUCAGGAAGUCAGCCUAGUGAGUUAUUGUGAUCUUAGAAUUCUUGAAGUCCUUUUUCUGUUUUGUUCUUCAAUUGCUUUGUGCAGGUAUUCCCUUUCUUUUUAUAGCAAAGCGUCCGAUUUGGGCUUGUGGUUGGUGGAUUCUCCAAUUGCAUCGUCAGCCCCGAGCCUAUUUCGGUCGCCGUGGCCUCGACCGCUUCUCUGCUCCAUACCGCAAUCUGCUCCAUCCUUCCAGCAGAGAGGGGAGCAGUCAAGGAUCCAGGGGAAGCAGCCGCAAUUGAACAGAGUUCCAUGUUACUGCUUGAAGGUGCCAAGAAUCUACCAGGCAAGCCAAUAUUGAUAUUCUCCCUGCAUACUGAUCUCUUUUUCCCUGUGCCCCCCCUUUUUCUAUGCCUUGACAAAGCUUCGGAUUCAGCAGAUCAGUCAUCAACAGCCGAAGAGCAAGCGAUGACCAGUGCUGAUUCUAGGAUGGAUAAGGCCCAUCUGUCAGUAGCGGGGGAGAUUCCUGUAGGAAGUUUCCUGCUGACGACAGAUAAAAUUAGAACGGCACAAGAAAAAUUGUCAGUGUGCCAAAAUUUUCUAGCUGAACUAGCCAAGUUUGAUGCUGCCAAGUUUCUGGAGUUGGAGCAAUCCAAGGUUCAAUAGGCGCAAGAGAACCAGCUCCUAAAAUAGCAAAUGGCAAAUCUUGCAAAGGACAAGGAAGCUCUCGAGAAGAGAAACAAGUCAUUGCAAGAAAAGAAUAAAUCAAUCACAAAGAAACAUAAGGAUGAGAUGGAGAAGUUCGAGAAGAUGCUUAGGGAUGCUGACAAGCAGCUUGCCGAGUCCCUACAGCAGAUCAAGAAAAUGGCUGAAGAGAAGGAUCUCCGUGAAAAGGAGCUCGGUGAGCUGAAGGCUGCUGCGCAGACUGUUGUUGACAUGGUGGAUCCACCCGAAGAGAGUACUCAAGCUAAUAAGACUCUGCUGGAGCGACUACAAUGUGCUCCACAGAAGAUCAUGAGGUACCUCUCGGAUACCACCUGUGGCUACGUGUCACACGUGCUCGGGUUGGUAAAAUCUUAUUGGCCGAAAGCAAAUCUCAUUCCACUUGGCGAAGGCAUAUCAGUUGACUAUUCAGAGGAGGAUUUCACUGCCUUUUUUUUGAUUCAAACAUACCUGUAUUAAGAGAUAAGGGAAACAUACACAAACACAACCAGGUACAGGUAGCCGCUAGAAGGAUUUCGAGGACACAGCUGUCCCAACCACACUUCACAGAAGACCCCAACAAAACAAAAAAUUACAAAGAGGCCCAAGGGGACUACUGAGCUUGCUGCCACCGACGAGCACCACCAAGCAGCAUCACCGAAGCGGAUGCCAACGGCGGAGCAGACCGAAGAACCGCAUACCAGGAUCUGGAGGAGAACCAUCUCGCCUUGGCUUCGACACGAGCCGCAAAGGAGACCCGUCCCAGAGAACAGAAAGGCAUCGCCUGUAUACC